UAGUUCUGCAAUGUAAACAUUGCAGUUCCAGAGAAACUGCAAUGUUUACAUUGCAGCACUA
rnacentral:miRNA from 1 species